AGUGGUGAACGGGUGAGUAAUAUAUCGGAACGUGCCCAGUCGUGGGGCGAUAACGUAGAGAAAUUUACGCUAGUACCGCAUACGAUCUACGGAUGAAAGCGGGGGAUUCA
rnacentral:rRNA from 1 species